AAAAAGGCAAACACUGGGUUUCCGUGCCAACGUUUGACUGUCCGUUUUAUAUGAAAUGUUUUUAUAAUUAGUAUUUUCAUUGUUGUUAGAUGAUAAAACAUAAUUAAUACUUUAUGCGUGACUUAUCUUUUUAUUUUUUUUUCAUAAUUUUUUUUAAAUAAGACGAAUGGUCAAACAUUAGAUACGGAAAUCAGAGUUUGUCUUUUU
rfam:Oryza glumipatula chromosome 10, whole genome shotgun sequence.